rnacentral:rRNA from 1 species
CCUACGGGAGGCAGCAGUGGGGAAUAUUGCGCAAUGGGCGAAAGCCUGACGCAGCGACGCCGCGUGAGGGAUGAAGGUCUUCGGAUCGUAAACCUCUGUCAGCAGGGAAGAACGGUCACUGUGCUAAUCAGCAGUGAAUUGACGGUACCUGCAAAGGAAGCACCGGCUAACUCCGUGCCAGCAGCCGCGGUAAUACGGAGGGUGCGAGCGUUAAUCGGAAUUACUGGGCGUAAAGCGCUCGUAGGCGGUAUGUCAAGUCAAGGGGGAAAUCCCCGCGCUCAACGUGGGAACGGCCUUUGAAACUGGCAAACUGGAGUGUGUGAGAGGAGAGUGGAAUUCCAGGUGUAGGAGUGAAAUCCGUAGAUAUCUGGAGGAACAUCAGUGGUGAAGGCGACUAUCUGGCACAUAACUGACGCUGAGGAGCGAAAGCGUGGGUAGCAAACAGGAUUAGAUACCCUAGUAGUC